rnacentral:rRNA from 1 species
UGGGGAAUUUUGCACAAUGGGGGAAACCCUGAUGCAGCGACGCCGCGUGAUUUAGAAGGCCUUCGGGUUGUAAAAAUCUUUUCUAUGGGAAGAAAAUGACAGUACCAUAGGAAUAAGGACCGGAUAAUUACGUGCCAGCAGCCGCGGUAAUACGUAAGGUCCGAGCGUUGUCCGGAAUCAUUGGGCGUAAAGGGUACGUAGGCGGGUAAGCAAGUUAGAAGUGAAAUCCUGUAGCUCAACUACAGUAAGCUUUUAAAACUGCUCAUCUUGAGAUAUGGAAGGGAAAGUGGAAUUCCUAGUGUAGCGGUGAAAUGCGCAGAUAUUAGGAGGAAUACCGGUGGCGAAGGCGACUUUCUGGCCAUAAUCUGACGCUGAGGUACGAAAGCGUGGGUAGCAAACAGG